UACGUAGGGAGCAAGCGUUGUUCGGAUUUACUGGGCGUAAAGGGCGCGUAGGCGGCGCGGUAAGUCACUUGUGAAAUCUCUGAGCUUAACUCAGAACGGCCAAGUGAUACUGCAGUGCUAGAGUGCAGAAGGGGCAAUCGGAAUUCUUGGUGUAGCGGUGAAAUGCGUAGAUAUCAAGAGGAACACCUGAGGUGAAGACGGGUUGCUAGGCUGACACUGACGCUGAGGCGCGAAAGCCAGGGGAGCAAACGGGG
rnacentral:rRNA from 1 species